rnacentral:rRNA from 1 species
CCUACGGGCGGCAGCAGUGGGGAAUAUUGGACAAUGGGCGAAAGCCUGAUCCAGCCAUGCCGCGUGUGUGAAGAAGGCCUUCGGGUUGUAAAGCACUUUCAGUGGGGAAGAAAGCCUUGGGGCUAAUACCCUCGAGGAAGGACAUCACCCACAGAAGAAGCACCGGCUAACUCCGUGCCAGCAGCCGCGGUAAUGCGGAGGGUGCGAGCGUUAAUCGGAAUUACUGGGCGUAAAGCGCGCGUAGGCGGUCUGAUAAGCCGGUUGUGAAAGCCCCGGGCUCAACCUGGGAACGGCAUCCGGAACUGUCAGGCUAGAGUGCAGGAGAGGAAGGUAGAAUUCCCGGUGUAGCGGUGAAAUGCGUAGAGAUCGGGAGGAAUACCAGUGGCGAAGGCGGCCUUCUGGACUGACACUGACGCUGAGGUGCGAAAGCGUGGGUAGCAAACAGGAUUAGAUACCCGAGUAGUC